UACAGAGGUCCCGAGCGUUGUUCGGAUUCACUGGGCGUAAAGGGCUCGUAGGCGGCCAACUAAGUCAGACGUGAAAUCCCUCGGCUUAACCGGGGAACUGCGUCUGAUACUGGAUGGCUUGAGUUUGGGAGAGGGAUGCGGAAUUCCAGGUGUAGCGGUGAAAUGCGUAGAUAUCUGGAGGAACACCGGUGGCGAAGGCGGCAUCCUGGACCAACACUGACGCUGAGUGAGCGAAAGCCAGGGGAGCAAACGGG
rnacentral:rRNA from 1 species